rnacentral:lncRNA from 1 species
GGUUACCUGGCAACCUUACUUGAGCAGUGCAAUAUAUGGGUCAAAUGUCGUGAGGUCCGAAGUUCUUCUUUCAAGGAGGAGGGUUCCGUUUCAGGGAAUUAGCACCUGGGAGUACUAUCUCGGGGAGAGAUGUCGGCGGCAGUUGGGAUUUCCUUGUCAAGUUCCCAAUGAUCCUCCACAAAUGAUGCAUGGACCACCUAAGGAUCGCCCAGGGUAUGUCCCAGAGAAUGUCCCAGCUGAUACUCUCGUCAAAGAGGGUCUGGAUUAUGCCUCGUGGUUUGCGAAUAAUUCAAUCGGCAAUAUCCUUAAUGUGACCCGAAGUCUUGGUGGGCCUGAAAUUGCGGGAAAGGUCAUAGACCAGUGGCUGGUGGGUUCUUAUAUAUCUGACCUUUGUAUCAUGUCUCUUGUUUGUAUUAUUAUUACUUGGUCUUAUUAUUUUGUGUUUUUAGGCCAAGCACGAACCAAACUUGAUCCCNAUGCGAAGAAAGGUCACUGGAGAAAUAGGAGCUCUUACAGGGUUCUGGCAGUUUCUUCCGGUGCAUUUUCUCUCUGCCUUGUAUUUUCUGUGAUUUUCCCUGGUCAAAGUUUAAUAUAUUGUCCGCAUUUGGAUAGCUUCUAUUUGAAUGUGGAGAAUUCUUUGAAGCGAAGGGAGUAUUAGUUUUAUUAUCUUCUUUUUUGGGAGUGAAAGGUAUUCUUGUCUUUAUUAUUGUGGUUUAAUUUUAUUUUAUCUUCUUGCUCCAGUUUUGGGCCUUCGAGUAUCUGGAUAUAAGUCGUCCGGAGCAUCAUGAUGUGGAUGUCUUUCCGAGGGCUAGGCGAUGGAUAUGUGCAAAAGGUUCUAGUAAUAACGACUCAACCCUGUUUCUCGCUAGCCGCUGUAAAUUAAAUUAUGUUGAGGAAUCCCAGGUUAGAAAUGUAACCAUUUUUCAUCUGGUUUUUUACUUUUUAAAUUGGUUCUCUAAUUUUACUUUCUAUUAGGUUACCUGGCAACCUUACUUGAGCAGUGCAAUAUAUGGGUCAAAUGUCGUGAGGUCCGAAGUUCUUCUUUCAAGGAGGAGGGUUCCGUUUCAGGGAAUUAGCACCUGGGAGUACUAUCUCGGGGAGAGAUGUCGGCGGCAGUUGGGAUUUCCUUGUCAAGUUCCCAAUGAUCCUCCACAAAUGAUGCAUGGACCACCUAAGGAUCGCCCAGGGUAUGUCCCAGAGAAUGUCCCAGCUGAUACUCUCGUCAAAGAGGGUCUGGAUUAUGCCUCGUGGUUUGCGAAUAAUUCAAUCGGCAAUAUCCUUAAUGUGACCCGAAGUCUUGGUGGGCCUGAAAUUGCGGGAAAGGUCAUAGACCAGUGGCUGGUGGGUUCUUAUAUAUCUGACCUUUGUAUCAUGUCUCUUGUUUGUAUUAUUAUUACUUGGUCUUAUUAUUUUGUGUUUUUAGGCCAAGCACGAACCAAACUUGAUCCCUGUUGAGCAAUCUCAGUACGAGAAAAUAAAAGAGGAUCGCAAUGCUCUUGAAGAGGAGUGCGCCAAGCUUCGAGAGGAAUUGGUAAGAUUUCAAUCCUUCUGCAUUUACUUUUAUAUUCAGCUCAUCAAGUAUAUUCCGUAACAUUAGAUGGUCAAGAAAAUUUGUAUUAUAUUUCAGUCUCGAGCUAGAGGGAAAUCUACCAUUUAGAAAGGCCAAGGAUCUGCUGUUUGUAUUGACUGGGAUCAAAACUCCACAAGUCCAGUUGUGAACACCUGCAUUCCUUCAAGUCCUUGAAUUUUUAGUUCUAUUGAUGGAUUUAACGUUCUGCUUCAAAUUGGAAUUUUAAGUGUCUUUUACUUUUAAAUUUGGUUUUUAUAUCGGAUUUGAAGUUGUGUUUUUGCAUUGUCUUGAAUCUUUCUAUACAGUCAAAAUGGUGCGAUGCUGAACUCGUAUCAAUGCAUUUGGUUAUAUUAGUCUGUUGGAUCAAGUUAAGAUAAAAAUAUUAAUUAUGUUUAAAGUAUAUUAUAUUAUAUAAAUCUGGUUUUAGCAAUUAAGAAACUAUAUCAAUUAUAUAAAUCUGGAUUUUUCGUUCAGAGUUAAAAAGAAUAUGUGAACUAGGGAUAUUCGAUUGUUACCGGAAUUGGUACGAUCAUUUAAGAAACUAUAUAUUUGGUUUGAUAAAUAAUAAGUGGACCAGAUAUACAGUUUUGCUCACCCACAAUUAAGAACAUGUUUGAUAAAACUUAUUUCACAAUUUAUUUUACUAAAAUAUAUUUAUUCUAAAAAAUUUCAUAUUUAAUUAAUAGUUUUUGUAUUUCUCUGUGUGGGAAAAUUAUAAAAUUAUGUACGUGUUCGGUGUUGGGUGAUAUGUUUUUGUUAAAACAAGAUAAAUAAAAUGAUGAAGACACGACAUCUGCCGACAUAAUCAAAAUUGAACAAAUAUAUAAUAACACGAUGUUGAAUUUUUUCUUAUAAUAACGCAGGAAUAUUGUGAAAAAUAUGUACAUGCUGCAAUUGUUUUGACCAAUCAACACGAAGAUUAUGCGUACUCUGUUACCAAAUUAAGAUGAUUUUUCUUUGCAAAAUUAAAAAUGUUAUAUUUUUUCUAAAAUAAUUUAAAAUAAUAAUAAUUUAUUACUUUUAAAUAUUUAUGAUCAAUAUAAUCAGUCUAAUCGAAGCAAAACGUUUACCAGGAUGAACAAAUUUUACAUACCACAUUUCAUUUUAACCAACCAUUUUAACCGGCCUUAUUAAGAAUGUUAUACUGGUUCAAUAAAUUAUACAUAACUAAUAUUUAUAUCAUCUUAAUUAUGUAUUUUAGACAAUCUCGUUGAAAAUAUUUAUGUUGACUAAAAAUUAUUACAAAUUCACUUUCAGUAUAAAAUUUAUCAACUAAUAUCUUUUUUAUUUGAAUAAAGAUUGUUAUACAAACAAAUAUCAUAAAUGAACUUAUAUUACAGUUAAAUCACCGACUCACUAGGCAUGUCUCUUCUCUUUUGAUGAAAAUUUUUUCCAUAUCACAUGUUAUUUUUACCAACCAUUUUAACCGUUCUUAUUAGAAAUGUUAUUACUAGUUCAAUAAAUUAUACAUAAUUAAUAUUUUAUAUUAUUUUAAUUAUAUAUUUUAGUCAAUAUCAUUGAAGAUAUUUUUAGUGACUAAAAAUUAUCGAAAAUUCAUUUUCACUAUAAUAUUUAUAAACAUGUCAAAGGUUGUUAUAGUAACAAAUAUCAUAAAUGAACAUAUAGUACUCACUACGCAUGUUUCCCUUUUUAAUGAAACUAAAAAUUUAUUUCGCUGAGAAAUUUCAAAUUUACGUAACAUUUUUAAUAUUAUAUAUUUAAUAAAUACUAACUUAUAUCCCGUGUAAGGCACGAGAGCUUUUUAAUUAUUUAUAAUUUUUUUAAAUAUGUUUUAAAUGGUGUGAAAAACUUUAAUUUAUAGAUAGUAAAUUAAAAUUUUCAAUUAAAUAUAAUUUGAAAUUAUGAUUUGUUUGUAAGUUAGAGCUGUUGUAAAAUAUAUAAUUUUUAUAUAUUGUUGGUAUAAUUUAAAACUUUAUCUUAAGUUUUAGUUGAAUCGAAUCCAAAAUAUUAGUUUUCCAUGAUUUUAACAGUUAUGAAUAACUUAAUCAAACAUAUUUUUCAUUAAUAAUAAUAAUAUUUAAUAGUAUGAUGUAAUGCAUAUUUGUAUAUAUUUUUAUUGUAUUUUCUUCUAAUAUAUUAUUUACAUGGUUCUUAUUGUUGCUUGUAUUGUUCUUGACGUAGCAUGUAUUGUUCUCUACGUCGCUUGUUAAGUUUCAUUCUUUGUUCGUAUUAUUUGAUUCAUCAUGCAAAUCCAUGAUCUACGGAAAAUUGAAUAAAUCAAUAAAAUUUAGACAAACAGAAAAAUCAUAAAAGUGAUGCAUACAAUUCAUCAAACAGGAGUAAAAAAAAACAGAGAAGCUGUUACUUUUGUAAGCAGCAAUUCGAUGGAAUAAGUCAGGAGUUUAGUUACUGGCAGAAAAGUUGCAACCUACCAAGCCAUUACUUCUCUCGCAUGUACGUAUCAUGUCAAAUUAUUAAAUUUUAGGGGAAUUAUCUUGUAUAUUGUUUUUUCAAUCUUAUUUUCAAAAAUACUAACUUAUCCAAUCUUAUUUUCAAAUCUCUAAAAUAUUUUCAAAAAUACUACCUUUUUGAAAAUAUUUUCCAAAAAUACGGUGGUUGCAUAUGCAACCAUAUAUGCAACUACAAAUCCUGAUUUCAAGUUUCAGUUUUCAAAUGUCAUUUUCGACCUCAUCUUUGGAGUCGAUAUAUAUAUAUAUAUAUAUAGAUAUAUAUGUAUAUAUGUAUAUAUGUAUAUAUAUGUAUAUAUGUAUAUAUGGAUUCCAAAUAUGAGGUCGAAAAUGACAUUUGAAAACUGGAACUCGAAAUCAGGAAUUCAGUUGCAUAUAUAGUUGCAUAUGGUUGUAUUCAGUUGCAUAUGGUUGCAUUCAGUUGAUUCUAUUGCAAUCUAAUGGCCCCGCCAGGGGCACACCAUACAUCCGUUGCAACUUACAGUUUUCAGUUGCAUUUAGUUGCAUAUGAGGUUGCAUUUAGUUGCAUAUGAAGUUACAUUCAGUUGAUUCUAUUGCAAUCUAAUGGCCCCGCCAGGGGCACCCAUACUUCAAUUGGAACUUACAGUUUUCAGUUGCAUAUGAGGUUGCAUAUGAGAUUGUGUGCAACCUCAUAUGCAACGGAAAACUGUAAGUUGCAACUGAUGUAUGGGUGCCCCUGGCGGGGCCAUUAGAUUACAAUAGAAUCAACUGAAUACAACCCAUAUGCAACCAUAUAUGCAACUGAAUUCCUGAUUUCAAGUUCCAGUUUUCAAAUGUCAUUUUCGACCUCAUAUUUGGAAUCGAUAUAUAUGUAUAUCGAUAUAUAUAUAUCGAUUCCAACGAUGAGGUCGAAAAUGACAUUUGAAAUCUGAAACUUGAAAUCAGGAUUUGUAGUUGCAUAUAUGGUUGCAUAUGCAACCACAGUAUUUUUGAAAAUAUUUUAGAGAAGGUAGUAUUUUUGAAAAUAAGAUUGGAUAAGGUAGUAUUUUUGGAAAUAAGAUUGAAAACGUGAUUAUUAAUAAAAAAAGCCUAAAUUUUUUCUAUCAAAUUUUAAUAUAUAUUGAGUAGAAUAUGUGACGCCAACUUUAUUAGAUUAUAUUUGUAAAUAUAUUUUAUAUUAGAAUUAUUAUAAUGUGAUUUAAAUAUUUUUCUAAAAAUUUAUAUGGUUUCAGAUCGAAAUUGAUAAACAUAAUUUAUUUGUUUUGAAUUAAAAAAAGGAAUCAUAAACAUGCAAUAAGAAGGUAGAAUUUGUUUUGGAUUAAGAAAAGGUUUUUGUAUUCGUUCCCCACAUCAAUCCGGCUUAUUAAUUUUAAAAUAUAUUAGAUAAAAAUAAUUUUGUGAUGGUGCGAUUCAUAUGUUUCUACAAAUAAAACUGAUAAGAAAUAUUUAUUUUGGAUUAAAAAAAUCAUAAACACAUGAAAGACAGAAUUUAUUUUGGAUUCAGAAAAGGAAUUAUAAACAUGCAAGUAGAUAUCAGUUGUCUUAUAGAACAGAAGUUAAUUUUAUUCUAAUCUAACAGUGUUUAUUUGUUCAAUAUACUAUCCAACGGAUGAUAAACUUUUGCACCAUGCAACCAUGCGACCAAAUUAUUUUCAUUACGCUUAUUAUAUAUAAGUAUAUAAUAGAAGAAGAUAAGGUGUUUUAGUUAAAAAGGUCAAUUGCUAUGUUGUCCAAUAUUAUUUUUAGAAAUUUGAGUUUUUUUGGUUAGAAAAUAUAAAAAAGAUAAUAGUUUUAAUUAAAAAAGAUAAUUGAUUAUAUAAGUAGGCCCAUAAUUCGGCCCAAGUACCGAUCGACCAAAUUUUUAAUAUUUUGGCUAAUAAUUCUAUAUUAAUAUUUUUUUUAUAUGUAUGUUGCAUGUGUUAAUUUUAGAAAAUCGAUUUUUUAGUUAGAAAUCUGAAAAAGAUAAGGUGUUUUAGUUUAAAAAAAAAGGCAAGUGCUAUGUUGCCUAAUAUUAUUUUUGGAAAAUUGAGUUUUAUUAGUUUGAAAAUAAAAAAAAAAGAUAAUAAUAUCAAUUAAAAUGGUUAAUUGAUUAUAUAAUUAGGCUCAUAAUUCGGCCCAAGUACCCACCAACCAAACUUUUAAUGUUUGGGUUUUAAUAGUAUAGAGAUAAGGUGUUUUAGUUAAAAAGUUCAGAAAAUUGAGUUUUUUAGUUAGAAAAUAUAAAAAAGAUAAUGGAUUGAAAUAGUAUUAUCCCGAUUUAGUUGGGUUGGACAUGGGUUUCGGGUUUUAUAAACCGAUCCAACCCAAAGCUAUUGAAAAAUAUGAUAGCAUAUUAAAUUUAUCCAUCUCAUCACAUAUUAGCCUAGUCCAAUUAGUUUUAUUGUAUUUGUGUGCCCUUAAAUUUAAUAUAGUAAUUUUUGUUUGCUAUUUAAAAAUAUAUAUAUAUAUAUGAGAUUAAGUUUAUGAAUGAGAAUAUGAGAUUAAAUUCAUUAUUAUGUUUUGCGAGGAGCACACAAACAUGAAUGUUGUUUGUUUGUUACAUAAAUGUAGUUAUAAUCUUAAAUUUAUCCAUUUAAGUAGCAAACAAACAUGAAUGAGAAUAUGAGAUUAAAUUCAUGAAUAUAUUUGUUCAUUAUAUGUUACUAUUUAUUUUUAAAAUUGAAUUCAAUUUUAUGUCUUUCAUAAGAUUGUUAAAGUAAUUUUUAUUGUAAAAAAUUGGAUGUUAGAAGACCUAUUUGACACCGGCGAUUAUACUAUUUAUUAACCCAACCAAACCAAUCCGAACCGAUCCAAACCGAAGUGCUACAAAUUGGUUUGGGUUACAAAUUUAUACGGUUCGGGUUGGGUUGAAAUUUUGAAAACCUGACUUAAUUGGGUUGGGUCAAUAAAUUCCGUCAACCCGCCCAACCCGAACCGUGUGCAUCCCUAGUAUAGUAUAUAGAUUUUACAUUAUAGAAAUAUGUUGCUUAUUUCCAGCAAAAAACAACCUAUCUUAUAUUUUUUCAUACAUAAGUUACUUAUUUAUAAAAAAUAAACUUAAAUGAAUAUUACCAAAAUCUUAUAUACGUCUAAUUUAUUGGACUAAAUAUAGUCAUGAGUUAGCACGAGGCCCCUCUCUCUCCCUCUCAAAAUUGGGUUGGAAAAGCCGUCGUCUUUUUUCAAGCUAGUUGAGGGACUUCCACUUGUUUCUUCUCCGGUGGAUUGCCCCAACCCCUUUGUUUUCUUUCAUUGUCGUUGAUUUUUUUCAAUAAAACCCAAUUUUUGGGUGUUUGCGUGUCACUCCUUUUGGAGUGUGUUUGGUUGUCUCUCCUUUUGGAGUGUCUUGUUAUGUUCUUGUUUAGUUAUGUUUGGAUUGAUUUGAUAUUGGAUCUAUCGAGAACAGUGUUAUAAAAAGCGCAUUAAGCGGCCGCCUAAGCGGAAUCGGCCUUAAAACGUUUCGAUUUUGUACUAAGCGGGUUAUUAAGCGUUUUUGAAAAUUAAGCGGGCUAUUAAGCGGAUUAAGCGGCCGUUAAGCGGAUUAAGCGGUCAAAUUGAUGUUGACUUGCUUUUUUUUUUUAAUUUUAAAAUAUUAUUAUUUAUAUAUUUUAACUAUAAUCAUAUUAAAAUAUUAAAAAUAUAUAUUUUAUUACAAAAAUUAUAAAUUUAAAUUCUUACCACAACAUAAUAUUAUUUAUAUAUAUAUUAAUAUUAUAAUUAAAUAUUUAAAUAUAUAAAAUUAAUCCGCUUAUUGACCCGCUUAAAAUUCCGCUUAAGCGUCCGCUUUACCGCUUAAGCGCUAGAAGGUCCUUCCACCGCUUAGAACCGAUUUGCGCUUUUCACAACAUUGAUCGAGAAUGAUUUUAUUGAUGCUUUUUGGGAUCUGGAAAGCCCGCGUCAAAUAUCAGCCGGUGGUAAUUUUGAUAAGAGCUCACCUUUCACAAUCACAGAUUGUUCAUCUAUUUGGGAUUUACACUUUCGGCAUGUCUAUAGCUGGUAUCCGGCGCGUAGAUAGAUGGGAUGCCACUCUGAUUUGGGUUUUUGAACACUGUUCUAGCAAUGGUUUUUAUGUGAGAAGGUCAAUUGUGAUGUUGCUGCUUUCGGUGAUGUUGAUGCAAUUUAGAUCGCUUGGAAGAUCUUUGAUUUCAUUUUUAGUUUUAAGAAUUCUUAAAAUCUAUGUGUCAAACGAUUAUGAAACAAAUCAUCUAAUUGUUUGUAUUCGAUUGGGAUUUUAAUGCAUUGUUUUCAGUCUAUGGAUUUUAAUAGAUUGUAUGGGAUUUUGAUUUUUUGCGGAUUCUUGAUGAAAUGUCGCAGAGUUGAUAGGAUUUAGGUACAAUGCUUCAAAAUCCCAUUGAAUUUGGUGGGAUUUCAAAAAACUUAAAAUACACUGAAAAAUGCCACAAAAUCCAUCAUUUUAUGAAAUGAAAAAAAAUCCAUCAGCAUUUGAAUACAAUCAGAUUUUAAUGGAUUUUAAACAAUCCCAAUUGAAUACCAUCGGAUUUUAAAACAUAAUUUAAAAUCCCAAUUGAAUACCAUCAGAUUUUAAUGGAUUUUAAACAAUCCCAAUCGAAUACCCUCGGAUUUCAUGAAUGCAAAAAAAUGCUUUAAAAUCCCAAUCCAAUACACCCCUAGUAUGUUAUUUGUUUUCAAACCUGGUUGUAUGGUCAGUCGAGGGUUUGUCCCAACUAUAUUAUGUUCUUAUUAAUGAAAUUGCUUUAAUUUUGUGUCAAAAAAAAUAAAUUCCUAAAAUCUUAUAUACUUUAGUAUAUAUCAAUUAAUAUAAAUAAUUUCUCUUAUAUUGUCUAUCACCAGGUAUCAUACAACUAAAUUUACCUCCCAGAAGCCCUUUGAACGAAAAACUAAUUACGAUCGGUCUACCCUGAGAACCAAAGCAAACCGACCAAACUAACUACCAUACUAAGAUCAACUAAUGUACCAGGUGUCUUCUUUCUCAAGUCCAUGUUCAAGACCGCACAGUCGUCAUUCGUGUAUGUAAUAACAAAGGACGUAAUGUCCAAUUGGGUGAUAAGUCAUUUUUUGUUCACAGACAGAACCCCCAGCAGAUCCAUUAUGUUUCUUCUUGGGGGACUUUAUUACAGGUAUAUUUUUUUGUGAAAUGUAUGUCUGUUAUAUCUCUUCUUGUUUUCCUUACACUUAAACCUCGAUAAUUUUAUGUAUAAUGUUCAUUUUACGAGUUUAUUUGUUCAUCGGAUAUUAAUUUAUCGAGGUUCUUCUGUAAUUAUAUCGAAAGCAUGUUAGUGUUUGAUAAAAUAACAGCCAGAAUGCUUUUUUCUUGGAAUAGUGUAGUAGUAAAUAUGAUUAGUUUUUAAUUAAGGGCCCAAAUUUUGUUAGACUUGGAUAUAUCUAUAUUUUUUUUCACUGUUAAUUAGGGGUGUUGGACAUGGGUGGCACAAUUCAGAUUGAGAAUGCCCUCAGUGUCAUCAUCCCUUCAAUUGGUCCUGAUUGUCACUUUAAAACGCAGCUUCGGUAUGCGUUUAGGUUAAAACGCAACUUCGGUUGCCGUUAAACUCAGAACGCAACUUCAAGUUGUGUGUUACAGCCUAAACCCAAAUAUGACCCUAAUAUAUUAAAAACUAUUAGUCUAUGUUUUUAGAUUAAUCUUUUAAUUUGGUUCUGAGUCUUCAGGGCCUCACAGCCCAGAAGCCUCGAAUUAAUUAGGGUUUAGGCUCGAGGGUUUAGGGCCAAUCCUAAACCCUAACCGUUGGUCAAUUUAAUUUCAAGCAUAAAAAAAUCAUUCUAAAACACAAAUAUGAAUCCUAAAAAUGUUAAAACUGUUAAUUUCAAGUGUUUUUUAUAAAUAAAUACCUGAAACGUAACUUCGUCUUACGUUUCUAGUCAUUAAAAUGUAACUUCGUGUUACAUUUCUGCUUAUUUGAAAAAUGAUAAUGCCAAAACGUGACUUCGUGUUGCUUUUUAGUGAAAAAUGUAAAACUCAACUUAAAGUUGAGUUUUGAAGUGAUAGCGAGGGCCUUUUUCCUAGACAGUGAGCCUUUUCUCGUUAAUUAGAUUAUAGAACAACAAAGUGGGUGAUUGACCAGCUUAUAUUUUCUGAGUUACGUAUUAAUGGUAUGAGGGCAAUGGAAUACAGGGGGGAAAAGACGGAAUCGGGGAAUGGAUGCAGCUAUUAUACUAUCUUCCACUUGAGGCCAUUGUUGACAAGAGGUUUAUCUAUGCAAUGGCGCAUAGGCCAUUAUAUCAGGAUUGACAGGAUAGAAAUAAUUGAAAGGCUUAAUAUCAUGGAUGCCAGAUCACUAGGCUUAAUUGACUUGAUGGGGUAUGUUCUUUUUCUAAUAAGUCCUCUGCUUUUGGUUUGCUCGAGUGCUUUAUGUGAAAUUGUGUGCUUUGUGCAGGUCUGACCGCACGGAAAAUCGUAACAUAGAAGGUUUCGGACACAAUGCUGGAAGGCGUGGCAUUGUCGACUUUGGGGUAAGUAACCUUGGCUCUUUUUUACAUUGUUAGUGUUUUGGGGGUGUUAAUAACAUUUCGUUAGUAGUUCGAUUUCUUGCUUUUUAGUUAGGCUCAAUUCUUAGUUGCAAUUCUCAAAUCAAAAGGUGAAUCAUAAAAAUCAAAGUUUGGCACUGGUAGUGUUUUGUACGUCUAUCUUUUGACUAUCACUAACCUUACAGUGACAUGAUAUUUCUUGGCAAGUAACCCCUCUCAAAAGUGCAUAUCAGAGGAGCUAAUCUUUUUCGAGCUCUAUAACCUAAAUUAGAGUAGAAAAUGCAACAGCAGGAUGAUAGCCAUAGGAACUGGAGAACGAAAUAUAUAUAUUAGUAGAAGCAGUUCGAGAACUAUCAUAUUUGAGUUCUUGAAGUAUUGUAUAUUUUGGUGUAUUACUAAUCACUUUGUAUGCAUGUACAGAGGAGUAUAACAGCUUCCAUCUAUAUGACGUACUGAGCUGAUAAUGUAUGAUAACUUAAAUAUUUUUUCUAAAAAGAAAUAUAUUACAGAAAAAUUAUGCAAUAAUAGCAUUCAGCUUUUUUAGUACAAACAUGAAGUUUCUGGCCUCUUACGUGCAGGAAGCUAAUUUUUGAGAAUCUUAAUAAUCAUUGGUUAGACCUCUAGGCAAGAUUUAUAGAUAAUAAUACAUUCUUGUGUGGUUGUGUUUAUAUAUAUGUAAUAUCACUUACCGUUGUUUAUCCAUUUUUCCCUUUUCGACAAUUUAACAAUAUUUAAAUAGAAAUGGCAUUUUCAGUUUUCUUUUACUUGUUUACUGCGAAUAAAUUCUUAAUUCUUUGAUUAUUAUAUUGGUUAGGAAGAUUGGCCUUUUUAACAUACUGCUAUUUUCUUAGCUCUUUGGCUUGUCAUCAUAAACAGGUGGUUGGCAGCAUUAUAUCUUUUAGUGAUCCUAAUGAAUAAUACAUUCUUUUUCUUUUUUUCCUUUUUUUUGCAAAAUGAAUUUUACAUUCUUGACGUCGCUGUGAUAGUUUAUUGGAAAUGAUGGAGAAUUUUCGAGAGGGUGCUGGUGUAUGUAUAAAAGAAAGAAAAAUGAGUAUUAUUGUUUUUCUAUCAAUGCCAAAUGACCAAGUUAAUCCUGCUAACUGAUUCUGUUAAUGUAUUUUGGAUGGAAAAAUGGUUGGGGGAUGGAAAGUGCAGCAAGUUUGUAACUUUGUGUGAAGAAGCUGACCCCAAAAUGCAAUCAUAAACUUUCGGAAAUUAUGACAAAUAUCUGUUUUCAGCAUAACAAUUAUAGUAAUUAGAAGCAGUUUCUUUCUUAGUAACGUAUUGCUAGAAAUUUCAUCCACGCUACUCGCUUUUCUUUCCCCCUUUUUUUUUUGCUAAAUUGCUUUUUCUUUUUUGGCUUAAUGACCUUUUAGCUCUCAAAUUUUGGAGGGUUGUUCCGAUGCGGCCUCGAUGUUUCAACUCGUUCAAUUCAACCCUCCAAGUUUCCCGAAUGUACCUUUUAACUCUUAUAUAGGUAUGAUUCAAAAAAAGGGUAUAAAUCGGAGGGUAAAGUUGACAAAUCCUAUUGUGGGUAAAGUUUACAAAUCCUCGCCAGGUGGCUAUAUGGUUUCAUAACAGGAGAGCAAGAUCUAGGCCGCAUCGGAAACUUGGUGGGUUGAAUCAAACGAGUUAAAACAUCGAGGCCGCAUCGGAACAACCCUCCAAACUUUGAGGGCUAAAUGGUCAUUAAGCCUUUUUUUUUUAAGGCUAUAUAUUUAGAAACAAUAUUUUGUAUUUUGCAUAUUAUAUAAACCAAAGCAAUAAAGAAACAUUUUAAAAUUAAGCUACUUUUUUUUUUCCUUUAGUAGAUUAUUUUGACCCUGGCAAGGGAGCAUUAUGUAAUUUUGUACUCGCCGUGUAUAAAACCUAUUAGGGGUUUCACAUUUUUUUAUAUCAUUGUAGCCACUAAUCUGGGUGAGGAACAAAGAAUAUUGCAGUGAAGCGGCGGCAGAAACACAAACCGAGUUAGCGGUGAACUCAAGGAAUCCUACCAGCAGUGCUUGAUUCAGUACUUCGAAGGUAAUUUUCGCUUUUUUUUGCACCUGUUGUAUUAGAUUUUGCGUCCUCUGUAUUAGAUCUUGCAUCUGCUGUAUCAGAUCCAGCGUGUAUGUGAAUUGGAUGUCUUUAUGGUGAUUAUGUAUCAAAGCAUUGUUCAAGACAAAUGGAGCAUUUAAUAGGUUCCUUGCUACCAUCUGCCUUUUGCAAAAAUAAGAUAUCUAGUCAAUAAUCCAGAACUCUAUUUCUAGAUCUGAAAUAUUUAUCUCUUUUCUCAGUAGUGUCGUUUAGACAUAAAAGUUUUGAAAACCCCUUUUUGGUAACAGAAUUUGCUAUUUUGAAUUCAAAAUCCUUUAAUUGAAAUUGAAUUUCCAAAAGAGUUAUGUCUAGAUGCAUAAAGAUGCAAUUUUCUGUUUGAAACCAGGAAUUAAUAACUAGAAGAGUCGCACUGUAAUAUUGAUGAUUAAAAUUCAAACCCCCCACGCACAUAGAUGUUUUGUGCCCUCAGCCUCUUGUGAAGUGGAAGGACGAUAUCACUGGGCCAAUUUCAAAGGCCACUAGGUUAAAGUAUAACUCCUGUUUUUCUAUUAGGUCGGUAAAGUAGAUUUUACCCUUAAUUUCCAAAUAUAUAGCCAUAAAGGUAACCUACUUUUUUAGCCUCAUUGAUUGCUUUUAUAAUAAAUGAGUUCUCCAUCGUAUAAUGAGUGGGAAAUACAGUGUUGAAAUUGGAAACUUACUGAUUGCCAUUAUCUUUGAAAAAUGGACAGCUAAUUUUACUGUGUCUUGUGGCCAACCAUAAAAGAGACAGUGAGAUUAUGAACAUUUUGUUUUCAAAUACGAAACCAUAGUGAACCAAUGGUUGUCACACAAUGAUAUAAUGGUUAUUGAAAAUCUUGAAGAAAGGUCGGAUCAGAUGCCUAAGUUUUCCAUCGAGUAUAAACAUAUAAAAUAGAGAUAUGAGAACUGUGAUAACAAUGAAGUUCUACCUAUGCAGACAGUCAUGCCAAGUAGCUUGCAGGUCUCUUUAUUGUAAUUAAAAAAAAAAAAUUGUGCUGUUGUUUCUCUUGGAUCGUUCUGAUCAUGAUGAACUUCUCUUUUACAGAAUCAUGUCUUCUUCUGCAACCAUCGUAAAUGAUCGUAAACAUGGUGAUUGUGCUCAGCAACCUUCUACUGGUACUUCUAGUAUUCCUGUAUUUGGAUAACUUACUUCUGAUCUUUUUCCUUUAAAUAAUCCUACAGCUACAGGAAGACUCCAGGGGACACAGAGACAAUUGCCUGUAAACCAGAGCUUGCCUUCAGCUGAUGUAGAUCGUGUUGCGGCUGCUGCUACAAGGCAAAGGACUCCCUCUACUCCAGAUGUAGAACAAGGAACAGGUACAACAAAUGCUAGGUGUCCAAGUCAAAGGAAGAGACAGCCCCCUAUAACAGCUGCAGAACCAGGUACAGGUGCAGAAAAUAUGAGGCGUACGAAGCAGAGGGCAACCCCCACAGCAGCUGUACAAUCAAGUACUGGUACAGAAAUUUCUAGAGUUCCAAGUCAAAUGAGAACACACACCCCUAUAGUGGCUGUAGAACCAGGUACAAGUGCAGGUAAUACGAGGCGUACAAAGCAGAGGACAACCCCCACAGCAGCUGUACAACUAGGUAAUGGUACAGCAAAUUCUAGGCAACCAAGUCAAAGGAGGACAGCCGCCCCUAUAGCAGCUGUAGAACCGAGUACAGGUGCAGACAAUAUGAGGCGUGCCAAGAAGAGGACAACCGCCACAACAGCUGUACAAUCAGGUAGAAGGGAAAGAAAUUCUACACAUAAAAGGGCAAAGAGUAGCCCCCGUAUGACUGAUGAAGAAGAGGGUGAUGCUGAGGAGGACAAUAAUAGGCCAAAGAGGCAGCCGAUUUUUGAGCGUGACCUGACACCGGAACAGAGGGACAUUCCGGACACCGAACUUCUCCAUCGUUUAGGAUAUCACCUCUCUGCAUAUGCGAGAGCUGGACUGGUAAGGCAUAUUGAUAUCUGUUGUUCUUCUUGUGCAUCAGUUUGCCCUUUUUGAAGUAGAGACAUAACUAUUGUUGUUGUUAUUGUGCAGGGUCCCCCUACCCAAAAUCUUAACUAUCGAGGUGCUUGGCGUAUUGCAAUAGAACUGUAUAAUGAAGCAAAUGAUCAGUACAAGGAACUUUUUAACGCAGCUGGUUUUGAAGAUUUUCUCAAAAUCAAACCAGUGGACGUUCCCGUUGCAUACAAUUUGGCCUUAACAGAGAGGUGGUUCAGUGAAACCAAUACCCUCCACCUACCUUGUUGUGAAAUCGGUGCAACUCCUGUAGACUGGACAAUGAUCACUGGCUUAAGGUUUGAAGGUCAUCGCAUAAAGUUCAGUUCCAAAUUCACUAUAGAAAGAGCGCUGGACCUUCUUGGAAAACCUGAAGCUAAGAGGGAUGGUAAGAUCAACCUGAAAUCCAUUAAACCUGAGCCGGAAGAGAUCAGAGAUGAGCCAGCAACUUAUGAUGAAAAGAAAAAGAUUUUUCGCCGCUUGUUCCUUUAUGUUGUAGGUAGUUGUUUUUUUAACAACAAUCGUUCAGUGAUUAGUCAUCACUUCGUGAAGUUUCUAAUAAGAAUACAUGAAGUGGGAUCUUAUGAUUGGGGGUCAAUUACAUUUGCAACCUUCCUUGCUGGAAUGCGAAGAAAGGUCACUGGAGAAAUAGGAGCUCUUACAGGGUUCUGGCAGUUUCUUCCGGUGCAUGUCCUCUCUGCCUUGUAUUUUCUGUGAUUUUCCCUGGUCAAAGAUUAAAUAUUGUCUGCAUUUGGAUAGCUUUCUAUUUGAAUGUGGAGAAUUCUUUGAAGUUAAGGGAGUAUUAGUUUUUUUAACUUCUUUUUUGGGAGUGAAAGGUGUUCUUGUCUUUAUUAUUGUGGUUUAAUUUUAUAUUAUCUUUUUGCUCCAGUUCUGGGCCUUCGAAUAUUUGGAUGUAAGUCGUCCGGAGCAUCAUGAUGCGGAUGUCUUUCCGAGGGCAAGGCGAUGGAUAUGUCCAAAAGGUUCUACUAAUAACGAGUCAACCCAGUUUCUCGCUAACCGCUGUAAAUUAAAUUUUGUUGAGGAAUCCCAGGUUAGCAAUUUAACUAUUUUUCAUCUGGUUUUGUGCUUUUUAAAUUGAUUCUCUAAUUUUACUUUCUAUUAGGUGACCUGGCAGCCUUACUUGAGCAGUGCAAUAUAUGGGUCUGAUGUCCUGAUGUACUCACUUUUUCUUUCAAAGAGGAGGGUUCCGUUUCAGGGAAUUGGCACCUGGGAGUACUAUCUCGGGGAGAGAUGUCGGCGGCAGUUGGGAUUCCGUUGUCAAGUUCCCAAUGAUCCUCCGCAGAUGAUGCAUGGACCUAAGGAUCGCCCAGAGGAUGUCCGAGCUGUUACUCUCGUCAAAGUGGGUCUAGAUUAUGCUUCGUGGUUUGCGAAUAAUUCAAUUGGAAAUAUCCUUAAUGUGACCCGAAGUCUUGGUGGGCCUGAAAUUGCGGGA